UACGUAGGAUCCAAGCGUUGUCCGGAUUUACUGGGUGUAAAGGGUGCGCAGGCGGACGUGUAAGUCAGGGGUGAAAUCUCACAGCUCAACUGUGAAACUGCCUUUGAGACUGCUCGUCUUGAAUCCGGGAGAGAGUUGUGGAAUUCCGAGUGUAGCAGUGAAAUGUGUAGAUAUUCGGAAGAACACCAGCGGCGAAGGCAGCAACUUGGCCCGCGAUUGACGCUCAGGCACGAAAGCAUGGGGAUCAAACAGG
rnacentral:rRNA from 1 species